rnacentral:rRNA from 1 species
AUGGAGAUCAGACGAUGGCUCCUCCAGUUUCUUGCCCUUCUCACCAUGACCACUGCCCUUCUUUUGAACCCAUCCGCUUCCACUUCCAGCUCCAUCAGCACCGUCGACGACCUCCCCACUCUCCUAUCAUUCAAAUCCCUCAUCACGAAGGAUCCCUUGGGCGCACUCUCCUCAUGGACAAUCAACAGCAGCUCCAACGGCAGUACUCAUGGCUUCUGCAGCUGGACCGGCGUGAAAUGCAGCAGGACUCACCUGGGCAGUGUCAUGGCACCGCGCUUACAAGGUCUUAGCCUCUCCGGGACGGUUUCACCAUUUCUUGGGAACCUCUCCCGCCUCCGCGUACUCGAUUUGUCCAACAACAAGCUUGAAGGUCAGAUCCCUCCUAGCCUUGGUAACUGCUUUGCUCUCCGCAGGCUCAACCUGAGCAUGAACUCCCUGUCCGGUGCCAUCCCUCCCGCCAUGGGAAACCUGUCAAAGCUGCUUGCUAUGGGUAUUAGCAUCAACAAUAUCUCGGGUACCAUUCCUCUUUCGUUUGCAGAUCUUGCUACAGUCACCGUGUUAAGUAUAACAAGUAACUCUGUGCAUGGGCCAAUACCACCAUGGCUUGGCAAUUUGACAGCGCUGAAACGUUUGAGCAUGGCUGAGAAUAUGAUGAGCGGCCAUGUUCCACCAACUUUGUCUAAGCUUAUCAACCUUCAAUAUCUGACUCUAGCAGUCAAUAACCUGCAAGGUUUGAUCCCUCCAGUGUUAUUUAAUAUGUCGUCACUUGAGUACCUCAAUUUUGGGUCAAACCAACUGUCAGGCUCUCUACCACAAGAUAUUGGCUCUAUGCUUCCUAACCUGACAGUUUUCAGUGUAUUCUACAACAAAUUUGAAGGCCAGAUUCCUGCCUCCUUGUCAAACAUAUCUGGUCUUGAACUUAUCGUUCUCCAUGGGAAUAGAUUUCGGGGACAGAUCCCAUCAAAUAUUGGCCAAAAUGGAUGUUUGAUUGCAUUUGCAGUAGGGGACAAUGAGCUGCAGGCUACAGAGUCAAGGGAUUGGGAUUUUCUGACCUCCUUGGCUAACUGCAGCCGCCUAUUUUCUGUAGGUCUUCAACUGAAUAACCUUUCAGGGAUUUUGCCAAAUAGCAUCAGUAAUCUGUCGCAAAAACUUGAAACUCUUAAAGCAGGAGGAAACCAAAUUGCUGGGCAUAUACCUACAGGCAUAGGAAGAUAUUACCAACUCACGAUGCUUGCGUUUGAGGAAAACCUUUUCACAGGAACCAUCCCUUCAGAUAUAGGAAAGCUAUCCAACCUCAAAGCACUAUCUCUAUCUCAGAAUAGAUGCCAUGGGGAGAUUCCAUCGUCAAUAGGCAACAUAUCACAACUAAGUCUGCUAACCCUUUCAGCCAACAAUUUGGAGGGUAGCAUUCCAGCUACUUUUGGCAACCUUACUGAGUUAAUCUCCCUGGACCUUUCCUUGAACCUCUUGAGUAAUAUUCUUCUUGAUGAUAACAUGGUUGCACAUCUUGGUGACUUUGGACUAUCAAAGAUAAUUAGGGCAGAUGAAAGCAGGCAAUCACUCGCCGAUCGAAGUUCCUCGGUUGGAAUCAAAGGCACAAUUGGGUACCUUGCACCAGGUGAAAACAGGAUAAAGUACCAAACUACCCUCAAUUUGAAAUUCUUGUCGCUGGGGAUCUUCGUCUUACUCCAUCGCUCCUCCCCUUCGCCAGGCUCCAUCCCACUGCUGCAGCUCCGGCGUCCGUCCGCGCCGGUCGCAGCUCCCUCAUCGGGCGCCUUCCUCCGCUCCAAUCAAGAGCCCAAACUCGUACGCAGCUCCCUCGCCGUCCGCCACAGCCUCCAGCCGCCCGCGACUCCUGGCCUUCGCGCCGCCCAUGCUCCUCCCCGCACCGACCAGCAGCAGCGCCGCCCGUGCUCCUCCUCCUCCUGCCUGAGCCUUCCAGCUCCUCGAUUCAGGCACUGGAGCUCCGGAUCCGGCCAAUUGACCUCCGUCCGUGCUCCUCCCCGCACUGACCAACAGCCGCAGCAGCGCAGCCUGUGCUCCUCCUCCUGCCUCAGCCUUCCAGCUCCUCGAUUUAGGCACUGGAGCUCCGGAUCCGGCCAAUUGACCUCCGCCCGUGCUCCUCCCCGCACUGACCAACAGCAGCACUAG